rnacentral:rRNA from 1 species
UACAGAGGUCCCAAGCGUUGUUCGGAUUCACUGGGCGUAAAGGGUGCGUAGGUGGUGGGGUAAGUCGGAUGUGAAAUCCCGGGGCUCAACCCCGGAACUGCAUUCGAUACUGCCUUGCUCGAGUACUGGAGAGGAGACUGGAAUUUACGGUGUAGCAGUGAAAUGCGUAGAUAUCGUAAGGAAGACCAGUGGCGAAGGCGAGUCUCUGGACAGUUACUGACACUGAGGCACGAAGGCCAGGGGAGCAAACGGG